rnacentral:misc_RNA from 1 species
GAUAGAGGCCUACCAUGGU